AGAGUUUGAUCAUGGCUCAGAAUCAACGCUGGCGGCGUGCCUAACACAUGCAAGUCGAACGAGAAAAGUGGAGCAAUCCAUGAGUAAAGUGGCGCACGGGUGAGUAACACGUGACUAACCUACCCAGGAGUGGGGGAUAACUGAGGGAAACCUUAGCUAAUACCGCAUAACACCUACGGGUCAAAGGAGCAAUUCGCUUCUGGAGGGGGUCGCGGCCGAUUAGUUAGUUGGCAGGGUAAUGGCCUACCAAGACGAUGAUCGGUAUCCGGCCUGAGAGGGCGCACGGACACACUGGAACUGAAACACGGUCCAGACUCCUACGGGAGGCAGCAGUGGGGAAUUUUGCGCAAUGGGGGAAACCCUGACGCAGCAACGCCGCGUGGAGGAUGAAGUCCUUCGGGACGUAAACUCCUUUCGAUCGGGACGAUUAUGACGGUACCGGAAGAAGAAGCCCCGGCUAACUUCGUGCCAGCAGCCGCGGUAAUACGAGGGGGGCGAGCGUUGUUCGGAAUUAUUGGGCGUAAAGGGUGCGUAGGCGGUUUGGUAAGUCUUAUGUGAAAUCUACAGGCUCAACUUGUAGUCUGCAUGAGAAACUGCCGGGCUUGAGUAUGGGAGAGGUGAGUGGAAUUCCUGGUGUAGCGGUGAAAUGCGUAGAUAUCAGGAGGAACACCUGUGGCGAAAGCGGCUCACUGGACCAUAACUGACGCUGAUGCACGAAAGCUAGGGGAGCAAACAGGAUUAGAUACCCUAGUAGUCC
rnacentral:rRNA from 1 species